rnacentral:misc_RNA from 1 species
GCAGCGUCAGAUGUGUAUAAGAGACAGGGUGAGUCAUCGAAUCUUUGAACGCACCUUGCGCCCUUUGGUAUUCCGAAGGGCAUGCCUGUUUGAGUGUCAUGAAACCUCACUCCACUUGGGUUUUUGCCUGAGUGGUAGUGUAUUGGGUGUUGCCUUGCCAAAGGCUCGCCUUAAAAGAAUAAGCACCUUGGAUGUAAUACGUUUCAUCCUUUCGGGUGGCUAAUAACCCCACAUAACUCAUGAUCUGGCCUCAAAUCAGGUAGGGCUACCCGCUGAACUUAAGCAUAUCAAUAAGCGGAG